rnacentral:misc_RNA from 1 species
AAAAAAGGCGUAGCUUUCAGUCAAGAAGUUGCAUGUUUCAUGGAGCUUGAAAGAGUUUGCUCAACCUGUGUUCCUCAUCCCAGCAGCAAUCCCAUUUAUGGUAAUGAGCAGGGCAUCUCUGAGCUUAUUGUUGUCAUCAUCGCUUCUAAGCCUCUUUAGAACCUCCACCUGCAACAUGUUCAUGGGAUUGAGAUAAGGAAGCCUGCUCUCUAUAAGCCUCCUCAGGCUCCG